rnacentral:rRNA from 1 species
GUCAGCAGCCGCGGUAACACCGGCGGCCCGAGUGGUGAUCGUGAUUAUUGGGCCUAAAGGGUCCGUAGCCGGUUUGGUCAGUCCUCCGGGAAAUCUGAUAGCUCAACUAUUAGGCUUUCGGGGGAUACUGCCAGACUUGGAACCGGGAGAGGUAAGAGGUACUACAGGGGUAGGAGUGAAAUCUUGUAAUCCCUGUGGGACCACCUGUGGCGAAGGCGUCUUACCAGAACGGGUUCGACGGUGAGGGACGAAAGCUGGGGGCACGAACCGGAUUAGAUACCCGGGUAGUCCCAGCCGUAAACGAUGCUCGCUAGGUGUCAGGCAUGGCGCGACCGUGUCUGGUGCCGCAGGGAAGCCGUGAAGCGAGCCACCUGGGAAGUACGGCCGCAAGGCUGAAACUUAAAGGAAUUGGCGGGGGAGCACAACAACGGGUGGAAGCCUGCGGUUUAAUUGGACUCAACGCCGGACAACUCACCGGGGGCGACAGCAAUAUGUAGGCCAAGCUGAAGACUUUGCCUGAAUCGCUGAGAAGAGGUGCAUGG